UGACUAUUAAUUUUUUUCUAAGUCUUUCCUGGCUUCAUUUUUACUACAUUAAAUGAUCACAGCAGGUAUGAGGCCUGAUGAAGAAAUGCAGCUUCCCUUUGGGCAGGACUCAAUUAUCUGGCUGUCUCCAAGUGGUGAUGCAUGUGCUUUGGCACUUCUAUGCAGUGAUAUCAUCUGGAAACUGAUGGCAUCUCACCAGCAUAAAAUGGAUCUGACAAGAAGGAAUCAGGACUAUCACUGUGUCUUUUCCUCUGAGUUGUGUUGCCGUUGAGAAUGGAAUAAAACAUUUGUUGGUAUUUAAGAGUUUUCCUUGUUGAGUCUAUGAUUGAAGACAACAGAGUGAUAGAAACUGCAUACCUGGAAAACAAGUAAAGGCACUCCUGAUCAGCAGCAGUAUAAUACAUUUGCGAGAGAAAAGUGGUUGUUUGGUUCAUCAACAGCCUCCUCAAAUUAACAGGAAUUGAUAGGCACAGACUGCAUAUGACUCUGAAAAUCUCUCAAAUUAUAUUUGUUUGUGCACACAAGGGAUUUUCAACUUUAUAAGCAGAUACCAACCUUCUGUUAAAAUUGGGAGAAAAGCAACAUGAAUGUUUGCCUUAUAACUCAGUGGUGUCGAUAGGAGAGCACUCCUUCCAGGUGACAGUAUUGAUUGGCUUUUUCCUUCCUUUGUGCUUUGUACAACAGACUUUGUGUGUGUCCUCUCUCUGCACAAAGGAUGUGAUGGGCAGGGUUGGAGGGUCUGCCCCAGGUGACAGCAAGGACAGUGAUCCCCAGGGUGCCACCUGGGUGCACCAGGGCUGCUCCAGAACUGCACUCAAGCACCUGUUUGGUCUAACACUGGGACUAAAACAGAUCUUAUCCCUUUUCUUACGCACUGCUUAAGCAAAUUAGAGAAUGAGAUGAAUUAUCAGCCCUCUCAUUUGCAUUUCAUCCUUACUAUAGACCUAAAUUAAGAGAAUGAGCCAGUUAAGCAUAUUACAGUGAAAAGGUUUAAAAAAACUUUUCAUGUGAAACUUUUUUUUUCCCAUUUGCAUGUCCUGAACAUCCUCUGAACUUUCUAAGUUUCUCUUUUGCCUUUAAAGAUGUGUACCUUCACGCUGUAUCUUCUCUCAUUUGCAACAAACCCACAAAUUUAAAAGGAGAAAACCUAGUGUAAAUACUAAAAAUGUUUCAGCAUGACUGAAACAAAUGAAAUCACAGCUUGCCCUGAAAAUUAUCAG